rnacentral:rRNA from 1 species
CUACGGGAGGCACCAGUCGAGAAUCUUCCGCAAUGCGCGAAAGCGUGACGGAGCAAUGCCGCGUGGUGGAUGAAGGCCUUAGGGUUGUAAACACCUGUCACAUGGGACGAAUUUUGACGGUACCAUGAGAGGAAGCCACGGCUAACUACGUGCCAGCAGCCGCGGUAAUACGUAGGUGGCGAGCGUUGUUCGGAUUUAUGGGGCGUAAAGGGUCCGCAGGGGGUUUGCUAAGUCUGAUGUGAAAUCCCAGGGCUCAACCCUGGAACUGCAUUGGAAACUGGUGAACUAGAGUAUCGGAGAGGUAAAUGGAAUUCCUGGUGUAGCGGUGGAAUGCGUAGAUAUCAGGAAGAACACCGAGAGCGAAGGCAAUUUACUGGACGAUCACUGACCCUCAGGGACGAAAGCGUAGGUAGCGAACAGGAUUAGAUACCCCCGUAGUC